rnacentral:rRNA from 2 species
UUAAGCGACUAAGCGUACACGGUGGAUGCCCUGGCAGUCAGAGGCGAUGAAGGACGUGCUAAUCUGCGAUAAGCGUCGGUAAGGUGAUAUGAACCGUUAUAACCGGCGAUUUCCGAAUGGGGAAACCCAGUGUGUUUCGACACACUAUCAUUAACUGAAUCCAUAGGUUAAUGAGGCGAACCGGGGGAACUGAAACAUCUAAGUACCCCGAGGAAAAGAAAUCAACCGAGAUUCCCCCAGUAGCGGCGAGCGAACGGGGAGCAGCCCAGAGCCUGAAUCAGUGUGUGUGUUAGUGGAAGCGUCUGGAAAGGCGCGCGAUACAGGGUGACAGCCCCGUACACAAAAAUGCACAUGCUGUGAGCUCGAUGAGUAGGGCGGGACACGUGGUAUCCUGUCUGAAUAUGGGGGGACCAUCCUCCAAGGCUAAAUACUCCUGACUGACCGAUAGUGAACCAGUACCGUGAGGGAAAGGCGAAAAGAACCCCGGCGAGGGGAGUGAAAAAGAACCUGAAACCGUGUACGUACAAGCAGUGGGAGCACGCUUAGGCGUGUGACUGCGUACCUUUUGUAUAAUGGGUCAGCGACUUAUAUUCUGUAGCAAGGUUAACCGAAUAGGGGAGCCGAAGGGAAACCGAGUCUUAACUGGGCGUUAAGUUGCAGGGUAUAGACCCGAAACCCGGUGAUCUAGCCAUGGGCAGGUUGAAGGUUGGGUAACACUAACUGGAGGACCGAACCGACUAAUGUUGAAAAAUUAGCGGAUGACUUGUGGCUGGGGGUGAAAGGCCAAUCAAACCGGGAGAUAGCUGGUUCUCCCCGAAAGCUAUUUAGGUAGCGCCUCGUGAAUUCAUCUCCGGGGGUAGAGCACUGUUUCGGCAAGGGGGUCAUCCCGACUUACCAACCCGAUGCAAACUGCGAAUACCGGAGAAUGUUAUCACGGGAGACACACGGCGGGUGCUAACGUCCGUCGUGAAGAGGGAAACAACCCAGACCGCCAGCUAAGGUCCCAAAGUCAUGGUUAAGUGGGAAACGAUGUGGGAAGGCCCAGACAGCCAGGAUGUUGGCUUAGAAGCAGCCAUCAUUUAAAGAAAGCGUAAUAGCUCACUGGUCGAGUCGGCCUGCGCGGAAGAUGUAACGGGGCUAAACCAUGCACCGAAGCUGCGGCAGCGACACUAUGUGUUGUUGGGUAGGGGAGCGUUCUGUAAGCCUGUGAAGGUGUACUGUGAGGUAUGCUGGAGGUAUCAGAAGUGCGAAUGCUGACAUAAGUAACGAUAAAGCGGGUGAAAAGCCCGCUCGCCGGAAGACCAAGGGUUCCUGUCCAACGUUAAUCGGGGCAGGGUGAGUCGACCCCUAAGGCGAGGCCGAAAGGCGUAGUCGAUGGGAAACAGGUUAAUAUUCCUGUACUUGGUGUUACUGCGAAGGGGGGACGGAGAAGGCUAUGUUGGCCGGGCGACGGUUGUCCCGGUUUAAGCGUGUAGGCUGGUUUUCCAGGCAAAUCCGGAAAAUCAAGGCUGAGGCGUGAUGACGAGGCACUACGGUGCUGAAGCAACAAAUGCCCUGCUUCCAGGAAAAGCCUCUAAGCAUCAGGUAACAUCAAAUCGUACCCCAAACCGACACAGGUGGUCAGGUAGAGAAUACCAAGGCGCUUGAGAGAACUCGGGUGAAGGAACUAGGCAAAAUGGUGCCGUAACUUCGGGAGAAGGCACGCUGAUAUGUAGGUGAAGUCCCUCGCGGAUGGAGCUGAAAUCAGUCGAAGAUACCAGCUGGCUGCAACUGUUUAUUAAAAACACAGCACUGUGCAAACACGAAAGUGGACGUAUACGGUGUGACGCCUGCCCGGUGCCGGAAGGUUAAUUGAUGGGGUCAGCGCAAGCGAAGCUCUUGAUCGAAGCCCCGGUAAACGGCGGCCGUAACUAUAACGGUCCUAAGGUAGCGAAAUUCCUUGUCGGGUAAGUUCCGACCUGCACGAAUGGCGUAAUGAUGGCCAGGCUGUCUCCACCCGAGACUCAGUGAAAUUGAACUCGCUGUGAAGAUGCAGUGUACCCGCGGCAAGACGGAAAGACCCCGUGAACCUUUACUAUAGCUUGACACUGAACAUUGAGCCUUGAUGUGUAGGAUAGGUGGGAGGCUUUGAAGUGUGGACGCCAGUCUGCAUGGAGCCGACCUUGAAAUACCACCCUUUAAUGUUUGAUGUUCUAACGUUGACCCGUGAUCCGGGUUGCGGACAGUGUCUGGUGGGUAGUUUGACUGGGGCGGUCUCCUCCUAAAGAGUAACGGAGGAGCACGAAGGUUGGCUAAUCCUGGUCGGACAUCAGGAGGUUAGUGCAAUGGCAUAAGCCAGCUUGACUGCGAGCGUGACGGCGCGAGCAGGUGCGAAAGCAGGUCAUAGUGAUCCGGUGGUUCUGAAUGGAAGGGCCAUCGCUCAACGGAUAAAAGGUACUCCGGGGAUAACAGGCUGAUACCGCCCAAGAGUUCAUAUCGACGGCGGUGUUUGGCACCUCGAUGUCGGCUCAUCACAUCCUGGGGCUGAAGUAGGUCCCAAGGGUAUGGCUGUUCGCCAUUUAAAGUGGUACGCGAGCUGGGUUUAGAACGUCGUGAGACAGUUCGGUCCCUAUCUGCCGUGGGCGCUGGAGAACUGAGGGGGGCUGCUCCUAGUACGAGAGGACCGGAGUGGACGCAUCACUGGUGUUCGGGUUGUCAUGCCAAUGGCACUGCCCGGUAGCUAAAUGCGGAAGAGAUAAGUGCUGAAAGCAUCUAAGCACGAAACUUGCCCCGAGAUGAGUUCUCCCUGACUCCUUGAGAGUCCUGAAGGAACGUUGAAGACGACGACGUUGAUAGGCCGGGUGUGUAAGCGCAGCGAUGCGUUGAGCUAACCGGUACUAAUGAACCGUGAGGCUUAACCUU